GAAUCGGGGUAGGGCUAGGAUUAGGUUUAGGGUAGUGGUUACGGUUAGGGUUACAGCUAGAGCUAGGGCUAAGGCUAGGGUUAGGGAUAGGUUUAGGGUUAGGUU